rnacentral:rRNA from 1 species
AAUAAUACUCUAUCUGACUAGCCUGAUCCAACGACUCCUCGUGACUUAAGACGGGCUGCGGGUUGUAAACCUCUUUGGACAGGGAAGAAUCGUGACGGUCUCUUAUCCUUAGGUUACGACUGUCUCCGUGCCAUCAGCCCCGGUUAUCCAUAUGACACCAGCCUUGUCCGUAUUUAUGGGGCGUACAUUGAUCGUAAUUGGUGUGCCUAAUGGGAUGUCAAGUGGCCCGGUUAAUCCGGGAUGUAUCCUCCAGUAUUGAUCUGCUAAAUUCCAGCAAGACAGAACGGAUUUCCCCUGGUAGAGGUGAAUUGAAUACCUCUCGUAAGGAACACCUGAGUCGAAAUCUGGAGGCUCAGCUGUCACUAACGCUGACCCCCGAAUCCGUAUGGACCCACCUGAAUUAAAUCCUCUGGAACUCCACGCCUUAAAUAAUCUGAUCUACCUCUCCCGAGAAUAGAUCCUCUCUGUGCCGAAUCUAACGCUACUCGUGUCCCCCCUGGAGAGUACAGUCAAACUCAAA